rnacentral:tRNA from 1 species
UAGUUAGAGGUGCCAGAUUAGAUGGGGUUGAUUUAGGAUUAAUUUAUGGGUUAUUCCUCUCU